rnacentral:tRNA from 1 species
CGAAAGUUAGCUCAAUUGGUAGAGCGAUCGCUGUAUCGGCGAUUUGUCGCAGGUUCGAUUCCUGCACUUUCCACCA